AAACUAAAUCCCCCAAAAUUUUGAACACCCGCUUCCUCUUCCUCUCUACUCUCUACACCCGCCAAAUCAACUUCAUUCUCUCCCUUCUUUCUCUCUGCAAACCCCUUCUUCUCCGAUCGACUUUCACUUCCUUCUAUGUGCAAACCCUAAUCAAACAUAACACAUUUGAAAUAGUAAUAUCUUCUUUCAUUUUCUCCCCUACUACUCUCUGUAAAACCUAGCAGCCGCCACCACUAGAAACAUGGAAAAUCCCCCAAAAUUUUGAAGUACCCCGCUCACUCCUCUCAAUAUCUCUUGCGCUUUCAUAUUUAUAGCCAGAGUUGGAGAGCGAAAAGAAGAAAGAAGAAAGAAAUGAUGUGAGGGUGUGAGGUGGCGUUCAAAGGUUGUCAAGGGGUUGUGAGGAGCUAUAGGGCUCAAGUUCGAGGUUGAAGAUUAGAAACCGAAGGUUGAAGAUCAGAUUUGGGAUUAGAUGAGUCGCUGGUACAACUGACGUCGUCGUGGUGUAGGUCAGAUGAGUCGCCGGAGUCCAGGCCAAGUAACAGUGUCGCUGGAGUUUCGGGAAGCUAACGAUGUCAUCAAUUCGAGUGCAGGUGAUGUGCCGAUUAUUGAUUUUGGAUCAAUUACUAACUGUUUGCCAUUUUCUUUCUAGAAAAUCAAUGUAGUGUCUGCUUCUUAAUCUUGUUCUCUAUGAGUACCAUUGUUACCGUCUCUGGUAAAAACAUCUAACCAUAUGCCAAAUUCGUUGAUUCAGGUUCUCCUCUUCUCCUUUACGUCCCUAAACUUCUUUUCAAUCAACACAAUUAAGUUUUUACUGCCCACUAAGUGUUUGAUUAUUUGCUUCACUGAGUAUUGCAAUAUUUGAUUAUCAAAUCAAGGCCCCUGUCUCAUCUUGUGUAAUCCAUUUUUGAUACUAGUAUUGUUGUUGUAUGUUAAAAGGCUACAAAAGUACCUGUUAAAGAGUAUGAGUUUGAUGAAAAGAAGAUGGCAAAUGUGCAGUCUCAUCUGGAAAAAUUGGUUGCCAAUAACUAUUACUUGAACAGGUCUCCAAAAGAUGCGUACAGAUAAAUAUAUUAUUCAUGAAGUGAAGGCAAGAAUAGUUGAAUGGUAUAUGAUUAUGAACAGGGGCAAAUGCGUAAAACAAAUUAUGAUUCUUUUUAUUAUGGAUGGUGCACAGGACAAGGGCGGGCUGGUCAAGACUGGAAGCUUUACACAUUCAUAUCCAUUUUGUUGAAGAUCUGAUACCCCUCUUAUCUACA